GGCUGUAUAUGAAAGGCUUUAGUUGCCUGAGGAUGAGUCUGCGUACCAUUAGUUAGUUGGUAGGGUAAAGGCCUACCAAGGCGAGGAUGGUUAGCCGGUCUGAGAGGAUGGUCGGUCACAUUGGGACUGAGAUACGGCCCAGACUCCUACGGGAGGCAGCAGCUAAGAAUCUUCCGCAAUGGGCGAGAGCCUGACGGAGCGACGCCGCGUGUACGAAGAAGGCGCUUUGGGUUGUAAAGUCCUUUUCAUAUAUAAGAAUGCUAGAAGAAGUUUUAGUUGACGGUAUAUAUGGAAUAAGCCCCGGCUAAUUACGUGCCAGCAGCCGCGGUAAUACGUAUGGGGCGAGCGUUGUUCGGAAUUAUUGGGCAUAAAGGGCGCGUAGGCGGUCUUUCAAGUUAUAGGUGGAAAGUCAGUGCUCAACAUUGAUCGUGCCUAUAAAACUGGAGGACUAGAGUUUAGGAGAGGAUGCCGGAAUUCCUGGUGUAGGGGUGGAAUCUAUAGAUAUCAGGAGGAACACCUGUGGCGAAGGGCGGGCAUCUGGCCUCUGACUGACGCUGAUGUGCGAAAGCGUGGGGAGCGAACAGGAUUAGAUACCCUGGUAGUCCACGCAGUAAACGUUGUAUACUAGGUGUAUGGGGUAUCGAUCCCCUGUGUGCCGAAGCAAAUGUGAUAAGUAUACCGCCUGGGGAGUAUGCCGGCAACGGUGAAACUCAAAGGAAUUGACGGGGGCCCGCACAGGCGGUGGAGCAUGUGGUUUAAUUCGAUGAUACGCGAAGAACCUUACCUGGGCUUGACAUGGUGUCUGACUGAUAAGAGAUUAUCAGGCUCUUCGGAGGGGCAUCACAGGUGCUGCAUGGCUGUCGUCAGCUCGUGUCGUGAGAUGUUGGGUUAAGUCCCGCAACGAGCGCAACCCUCAUGGUUAGUUGCCACCGGGUAAUGCUGGGCACUCUAGCCAAACUGCCGGACGUAAGCCGGAGGAAGGUGGGGAUG
rnacentral:rRNA from 1 species